UACGUAGGGGACGAGCGUUGUCCGGAAUCACUGGGCGUAAAGGGCGCGUAGGCGGCCGUUUAAGUCCGCUGUGAAAGCCCGAGGCUCAGCCUCGGAGGGUCAGCGGAGACUGGAGGGCUAGGGUGUCGGAGAGGAGUGCGGAAUCCCUGGUGUAGCGGUGGAAUGCGUAGAGAUCGGGAAGAACAUCAGUGGCGAAGGCGGCCUGCUGGGCUGUUGCUGACGCUGAGGCGCGACAGCGUGGGGAGCAAACAGGAUUAGAUA
rnacentral:rRNA from 1 species